CUAGGUUGCCCAUGAGAGCAGGGAGGCCAAGGAAGAAUCAGGAGAUGAUAGGUGGAGUGAGCUGAGAAGCAAUCUGCUACCAGAUCCAGUCUUCUUCAAGGAACAUAAAAAGCAAAGGCAGCAUCUACAACCAGAGGAAGGCGAUUUUCUACCACCUGAUGAUGGACUUUGCAUUCUGAGGGUUACUUCCCCUCCAUCUACCAGGCCUUCUGCAAAUCUACUCAUGGAAGGAGCAAAUGGAUAGAGGCCACCCAUUGAAGCAUCACCACAAAGGUGACAAACCACCCACCAAAAAUGUGCUAAGGUGAUGUCACCAACCUGGUGCCUGCAAAUACCCCAUGGCACCUGCAAAGACCUUCAAGAGUGACCCUGGAAGGUAGCCCAGAAUCUGAGUUCUCAUUUUUUUAAAAAGAGUAAGUCUCUAGCCCUCCCAGAAGGAAAGUUAUGGAGCAAACCUUGCAAAUACCCUUCUAAGCCAUUUCUGUUAAAUGAGCCAGCUCGGCUACUCCCACCUGUCAGCAGUGCCAUAACUAGGCAGGUGCAACAGGUGCACAA